rnacentral:lncRNA from 1 species
CUGGAAUGACAAGUCAGGUACGCUCUCUCUUAUGCUAUUUUACUCUACAGUAUACUUGCGAUCCUUCACCUAAUUCAUUCUGAAUUAGUUGAGUGAUUUCAUUCUACAUUCUCAUAUUGAGAAUCCUUAGCCUUGCACUCAAGGCUCUUCACUACUACACCCUAACUUGGGUGUCGGAGUGCCAUUGCAGGUACCUCCCCCCUCCGGUCAAAGAUUGGACAUUGCCGGACGGCUGAAGAUUGAAGGAGAGCGGACGUUCAAUUCACAAGAGAAGGUGCACCAAUCUACUUAGUCAAGUAGCACAAAGCGGGAGUGCCACGUCACCCAGGUCAGUUCUUUCGGUCCCAGAAAUUCACACCGAAACUUUUUGGCGCCC